ACAGAGGUAUUUUCAAGGACAAGAACCAAUGCUGAUCAAAACAUGGUCUAGUGAUGGAAUUCCAUACCCGUUCUUGGCAAGGAUUUUUUAGAAAGGAAUAUUGUCUGCAAAAUAUGAUGUGCCAAUAAGCUCCAGUUUGCUGCGGCUUUUCGCCCAUGGCAGUGGUCCUGCAAUCUAGAUCCAGGAGUUGCAGCUCUGAAUCUAAUAUUUCAGAAUGAAGAUAUCGGAAUUCAUCACUAUAGUACCGUAUUCACCAGUAAGGUUUUAUCCAGGAUACCAGGGUGGUAUCUGGG